UUAGUUAAGCACCUCACUUACACCGAGAAGACACCCAUGCAAACUGGGUCGCCCCGAGCCAAACAGCUAG
rnacentral:tRNA from 1 species